GUGUUCCAGACAUCGAUGACAUCUGUCCUGAGAAUGUGGACAUCAGUGAGACCGAUUUCCGCCGAUUCCAGAUGAUUCCUCUGGAUCCCAAAGGGACAUCCCAAAAUGACCCUAACUGGGUUGUACGCCAUCAGGGUAAAGAACUCGUCCAGACUGUCAACUGUGAUCCUGGACUCGCUGUAGGUUAUGACGAGUUUAAUGCUGUGGACUUCAGUGGCACCUUCUUCAUCAACACCGAAAGAGACGAUGACUAUGCUGGAUUUGUCUUUGGCUACCAGUCCAGCAGCCGCUUUUAUGUUGUAAUGUGGAAGCAAGUCACCCAGUCCUACUGGGACACCAACCCCACGAGGGCUCAGGGAUACUCGGGCCUUUCUGUGAAAGUUGUAAACUCCACCACAGGGCCUGGCGAGCACCUGCGGAAUGCCCUGUGGCACACAGGAAACACCCCUGGCCAGGUAAGAAGCAAAGCCCUGCAACAGAGAGAGAGCUUAUGGGUGCCUGACUAGCACUGGGGAUGCUGUGCUUUGACCAAGACUCUGACCAGGGAGUCUUAGAAAGUUCCCAGCAUCACCAGCUGCAGCAUUGAACUCUGGUUUGUGAAAACAUAAUAGUGUUGAAAAGGGAGCUUGACCAAGAAUUGCCCUGCAAAUCCUAAGGUGCCUUCAGCCUUUUCAAACAAAAAAACCUCCUUUCCUCCUCUCUGUCUGCUUUAUAUGUGCACUCAGUGGCACACAACAAAUAUGAGAGGACUUGGAAAAAUUCCCCAUUGCAGCCCUCUAACUUAGAUCAGCUCGGUACCUUUCAAGCAUUGUUUCUGAUGUAAUGAAAUAGAAGUCUUUACCUGAAGGAGCUGUGUUUCAACCUUUCCUUUUCCUUCAGGUGCGCACCCUGUGGCAUGACCCUCGUCACAUAGGCUGGAAAGAUUUCACCGCCUACAGAUGGCGUCUCAGCCACAGGCCAAAGACGGGUUUCAUUAGAGUGGUGAUGUAUGAAGGGAAGAAAAUCAUGGCUGACUCAGGACCCAUCUAUGAUAAAACCUAUGCUGGUGGUAGACUAGGGUUGUUUGUCUUCUCUCAAGAAAUGGUGUUCUUCUCCGACCUGAAAUACGAAUGUAGAGAUCCCUAAUCAUCAAAUUGUUGAUUGAAAGACUGAUCAUAAACCAAUGCUGGUAUUGCACCUUCUGGAACUAUGGGCUUGAGAAAACCCCCAGGAUCACUUCUCCUUGCCUUCCUUCUUUUCUCUGCUUGCAUCAGUGUGGACUCCUAGAACAUGCGACCUGCCUCAA
rnacentral:sRNA from 1 species